rnacentral:misc_RNA from 1 species
GCAGGAUCACCAGGUAGCAUUCCUCGUUGACAUAACCCGCCCGCUGGUACGAGCCAACACGGGACAGGCAGGUCGUUCAAGGUGAUGCGCCACUCUCUGACAAACCCUCCUGAUGGCAAAGCCAAUUCGGGCAAGACAGCAAGUCAUGUUAACAAUGACAAACCCUCCUGAUAGCAAAGCCACACUAAGCGAGACAGCAAGUCAUGCUAACGUUGACAAGCCGUCCCGGUGGCAAAGCCACACUAAGGCGAGACAGCAAGUCAUGUUAGCGUUGACAAACCCUCCCGAUGGCAAAGCCAAUUCAGGCAAGACAGCAAGUCAUGUUAGCGUUGACAAACCCUCCCGAUGGCAAAGCCAAUUCAGGCAAGACAGCAAGUCAUGUUAACGUUGACAAACCCUCCCGAUGGCAAAGCCAAUUUCAGGCAAGACAGCAAGUCAUGUUAACGUUGACAAACUCUCCCGAUGGCAAAAGCCACACUAAGGCGAGACAGCAAGUCAUGUUAACAUUGACAAACCCUCCCGAUGGCAAAGCCAAUUCAGGCAAGACAGCAAGUCAUGUUAAGAGCGGCGCUAACGCUAAAUGAGGGCAAAACAAGGAUCCCAUGGGACCCCAUGCCCACAUCGUUUUCCAUAUCCAGGAUACCAAGCAACGCUCAAUGGGCCACAACAUCAACGCAUGCGUCAACGAUGCGGAUCAAAGAGACCGCUUCGUGGUUCAUCCGAUGCCACAAGAAUGACACAAGACGAAAUCAACUUUAAUCAUCCAACACAAUACCAUAGCUUAGGUAGGCAACACAGAAACCGACAGUUUGGCCAGGCAAUACAAGCCUAAACA